rnacentral:rRNA from 1 species
GGUUAAGUGAAUAAGGGCGCACGGUGGAUGCCUUGGCACUAGGAGCCGAUGAAGGACGGGACUAACACCGAUAUGCUUCGGGGAGCUGUAAGUAAGCUUUGAUCCGGAGAUUUCCGAAUGGGGAAACCCAACAUCUUUUAUAGGAUGUUACUUUUCAGUGAAUACAUAGCUGAUUAGAGGUAGACGCAGAGAACUGAAACAUCUAAGU